GAUGAACGCUGGCGGCGUGCCUAAUACAUGCAAGUCGAGCGAACAGACGAGGAGCUUGCUCCUCUGACGUUAGCGGCGGACGGGUGAGUAGCACUUGGAUAACCUACCUAUAAGACUGGGAUAACUUCGGGAAACCGGAGCUAAUACCGGAUAAUAUAUUGAACCGCAUGGUUCAAUAGUGAAAGACGGUUUUGCUGUCACUUAUAGAUGGAUCCGCGCCGCAUUAGCUAGUUGGUAAGGUAACGGCUUACCAAGGCAACGAUGCGUAGCCGACCUGAGAGGGUGAUCGGCCACACUGGAACUGAGACACGGUCCAGACUCCUACGGGAGGCAGCAGUAGGGAAUCUGCCGCAAUGGGCGAAAGCCUGACGGAGCAACGCCGCGUGAGUGAUGAAGGUCUUCGGAUCGUAAAACGCUGUUAUUAGGGAAGAACAAAUGUGUAAGUAACUAUGCACGUCUUGACGGUACCUAAUCAGAAAGCCACGGCUAACUACGU
rnacentral:rRNA from 1 species